rnacentral:rRNA from 1 species
GACGAACGCUGGCGGCGUGCUUAACACAUGCAAGUCGAACGCUGAACCCGCUUCGGUGGGGGAUGAGUGGCGAACGGGUGAGUAACACGUGGGCAACCUGCCCCCGGCUCUGGGAUAACUCCAAGAAAUUGGGGCUAAUACCGGAUGUGACCGCUGGCCGCCUGCUUUGGUGGUGGAAAGGGUUUCCGGCUGGGGAUGGGCCCGCGGCCUAUCAGCUUGUUGGUGGGGUAGUGGCCUACCAUGGCGACGACGGGUAGCCGGCCUGCGAGGGUGACCGGCCACACUGGGACGGAGACACGGCCCAGCCUCCUACGGGAGGCAGCAGUGGGGAGUAUUGCGCAAUGGGCGGAGGCAUAACGCAGCGACGCCGCGUGGGGGAUGACGGCCUUCGUGUUGUAAACCUCUUUCAGCAGAGACGAAGCGCAAGUGACGGUACCUGCAGAAGAAGCACCGGCCAACUACGUG